UACGAAGGGGCUAGGCGUUGCUCGGAAUCACUGGGCGUAAAGCGCACGUAGGCGGAUUGCUAAGUCAGGGGUGAAAUCCUGGGAGCUCAACUCCAGAACUGCCUUUGAUACUGGCGAUCUCGAGUCCGGGAGAGGUGAGUGGAACUGCGAGUGUAGAGGUGAAAUUCGUAGAUAUUCGCAAGAACACCAGUGGCGAAGGCGGCUCACUG
rnacentral:rRNA from 1 species